rnacentral:tRNA from 1 species
GCUGAUAUAGCUUAGAUGGUAGAGCACAUCCUUGGUAUGGAUGAGGUCCCCAGUUCAAUUCUGGGUAUCAGCA